UAGCAUAUCAAUAAGCGGAGGAAAAGAAACCAACAGGGAUUGCCUUAGUAACGGCGAGUGAAGCGGCAACAGCUCAAAUUUGAAAUCUGGCCCUUGGGUCCGAAUUGUAAUUUGUAGAGGAUGAUUUUGGUGCGGUAUCUUCCGAGUUCCUUGGAACAGGACGCCUUAGAGGGUGAGAGCCCCGUACGGUUGAAUGCCUAGCCUCUGUAAAUCUCCUUCGACGAGUCGAGUAGUUUGGGAAUGCUGCUCUAAAUGGGAGGUAAAUUUCUUCUAAAGCUAAAUAUUGGCCAGAGACCGAUAGCGCACAAGUAGAGUGAUCGAAAGAUGAAAAGCACUUUGAAAAGAGGGUUAAAUAGCACGUGAAAUUGUUGAAAGGGAAGGAUUUGUGACCAGACUUUUUCUGGGCGGAUCAUCCGGGGUUCUCUCCGGUGCACUUCGCCCAGUAAAGGCCAGCAUCGGUUUUCGGCGUGGGAUAAAAGCAGUAGGAAUGUGGCUCUCUACGGGGAGUGUUAUAGCCUAUUGUAUAAUACCGCGCUGGGGACCGAGGUUCGCGCUUCUGCAAGGAUGCUGGCGUAAUGGUUAUCAAUCACCCGUCUUGAAACACGGACCAAGGAGUCGAACAUUUGUGCGAGUGUUUGGGUGUUAAACCCUCACGCGUAAUGAAAGUGAACGGAGGUGAGAGCCCUUACGGGUGCAUCAUCGACCGAUCCUGAAGUUUUCGGAUGGAUUUGAGUAAGAGCAUAACUGUUCGGACCCGAAAGAUGGUGAACUAUGCGUGGAUAGGGUGAAGCCAGAGGAAACUCUGGUGGAGGCUCGCAGCGGUUCUGACGUGCAAAUCGAUCGUCAAAUCUGCGCAUGGGGGCGAAAGACUAAUCGAUCCAUGUGCGGAC
rnacentral:rRNA from 1 species